GUGGGCAAUCUGCCCUGCACUCUGGGACAAGCCCUGGAAACGGGGUCUAAUACCGGAUACUGACCCGCUUGGGCAUCCAAGCGGUUCGAAAGCUCCGGCGGUGCAGGAUGAGCCCGCGGCCUAUCAGCUUGUUGGUGAGGUAAUGGCUCACCAAGGCGACGACGGGUAGCCGGCCUGAGAGGGCGACCGGCCACACUGGGACUGAGACACGGCCCAGACUCCUACGGGAGGCAGCAGUGGGGAAUAUUGCACAAUGGGCGAAAGCCUGAUGCAGCGACGCCGCGUGAGGGAUGACGGCCUUCGGGUUGUAAACCUCUUUCAGCAGGGAAGAAGCGAAAGUGACGGUACCUGCAGAAGAAGCGCCGGCUAACUACGUGCCAGCAGCCGCGGUAAUACGUAGGGCGCGAGCGUUGUCCGGAAUUAUUGGGCGUAAAGAGCUCGUAGGCGGCUUGUCACGUCGGUUGUGAAAGCCCGGGGCUUAACCCCGGGUCUGCAGUCGAUACGGGCAGGCUAGAGUUCGGUAGGGGAGAUCGGAAUUCCUGGUGUAGCGGUGAAAUGCGCAGAUAUCAGGAGGAACACCGGUGGCGAAGGCGGAUCUCUGGGCCGAUACUGACGCUGAGGAGCGAAAGCGUGGGGGAGCGAACAGGAUUAGAUACCCUGGUAGUCCACGCCGUAAACGGUGGGCACUAGGUGU
rnacentral:rRNA from 2 species